rnacentral:rRNA from 1 species
AUGUAUCCUAUUGCUUGGGCUGUUGUGGAGAAAGAAAAUUAUGAGUCAUGGUUCUGGUUUCUUGCCAAAAUAAACCAGGACUUGAAAAUAAGCAAUCAAGGAGAUGGAUAUGUAUUUAUGUCAGAUCAACAAAAGGGACUUAUAGGGGCAAUGGAGGACAUUUUUCCUAAAGCUGAGCAUAGAAUGUGUGCAAGACACAUAUAUGCUAAUUGGAAGAAAAAACACCCAGACCAUGAUCUUCAGAAAAGGUUUUGGAGAUGUGCAAAAUCACCAAACAAAGUGAUUUUCAACUACAACAGGGCCAGGCUAGCACAAUUUACUGUUGAGGGUGCAAAAGAUAUGAUGAACACUGAUCCAGUACAUUGA